GUAAAUUCGCCAUGUGAUAACCCCCCACUAGCAGAGAACGAAAGACUUACAAAGGAACCUGAAACUUAAACCAAACUGAACCAACCGCUGUGUACUAGAUCUGAAGGCUCUGCCUCAUCCACUGUAUCGUGCUGCCUCCCCAAGCACAUCAUUACACAUCAUCCAUUUGGUGCAUGGCAGAGGGAGGGAAGGAGAGCCCUCCUCACCAAAGGUUCCCAGGCCAGCAGGGAGGAUUAAGGCUCGGGCGCUCCAAACACAACACAACCUAGAAAGUGACGUGUCGAGAGGAAUCAC